rnacentral:rRNA from 1 species
UACAGAGGUCCCAAGCGUUGUUCGGAUUCACUGGGCGUAAAGGGUGCGUAGGCGGUCGGGUAAGUCUGAUGUGAAAUCUCACAGCUUAACUGUGAAACUGCAUUGGAUACUAUCCGGCUCGAGGAAUGGAGGGGAGACUGGAAUACUUGGUGUAGCGGUGAAAUGCGUAGAUAUCAAGUGGAACACCAGUGGCGAAGGCGAGUCUCUGGACAUUUCCUGACGCUGAGGCACGAAAGCGUGGGGAGCAAACAGG